CAUUUUACAACUUGAUUUGGUGUGUGUGCAUACAAUAGAAGUACUUCCACAGAUGUGGCAGUUUAGUUUACCAAGCAUUCUGUUUAGAUCAUCACUUUGCACCCUCACCAGACCGUGUAACAUAGUUAUGGACAUCUUUUCUUUAGGCUGAGAAUAAGAGUUAAAUCUGAAUCUUCUUUUUCAAAAGUGUUAAUAUUUUUAUUUACCAUAUUUGGUUACUUCAAAUUUUAAUGACACUAGGCUGUAUUAGAAGUUUUUCCCCCUUUUUCCUUUAUGACUCAGAACUAUUUGCUUUUUUACUGUUGCCUUUCUUGUUGUUCAGUGGCUAGGUGCUGUUUAUACACUAUUAUAGAUCAAUAAUAUCAUAACCAAAUAGAGCCUGAAGAAACAGAAAUAAAUUUAAGCUUGAAAAUUGCGCAUUAAAUCACAAUGUAGUAUAAGGAGAAAAAAAACUUCUAAGAAGGAUUUUUAAUUUACUUUAGUCUCAAUAUAGCAAUAAUUUAUAUAGGCAAACUACUUUGCAUGGAUUUUGACCACUACUAAGGGAAACUACUAAGAUACUACCAAAAUACAUAGAAAAAAAUAUUUUUGUAUGUGAUGGGCAUUGAAAAAACAAAAGUAUCAUUAUUAAGUUAUCCAUCUAUAACAGUCUCUAGAUCCCUCUUUCCUAACUCCUUCUAAUCACAUAUCCACAUUCUUUGCAUUCUAUACUCCCUUUUUUAUGCCUUAACAUCCCUGUUAAAAAGUUGGGUCCACCCAUCUAGCCAUGGUGCUCCUUCCUUUAACUUGACAAAAUGCUCUUAUUUUACCUGUUACCUCACACAAAGAAAGUGCAAAGAAACCAAGAUGAACCACAAUCAAAUUAGGAGAUAUGUUCCAAUGGAAAUAGGAACAAAUUUGUUUCCUUUAAUCCACUAGAUUACUGUAGACUUCCUGGUAAAUUGCUUAUUCAUUCAUAUAUUUACUUCAUUUUACUUUAUCUGUGUCUGUUUCUGAGUAUUUUUUUCACCUCUAUACUCUUUUACAGCAUCCAGGGAAUUGUUUUGUGCUUAUCAAAGGAGGUUUCUGUUUUUUCUACACCCAUGUAUGCUUUGUGCAAAGCAUAGUGCCAGUGCAUCUCUUGGACACUACUCACCAGACUGUUAACUGGAUCAUAUCUUACUGUUUCCGGUUUGUCUUAUUCUGAAUCUGAAGCACAGGCAGGCCUACAGACUGGUGUGGCACAGUUCCACAUUCGCCAUCCCGACACACAACAAGGUGAGUGUAUCCCUGGGCUAUUGGUGUAAAACCCUGAGCUCUUGCCCUUGGAAGAACUUCUUGCUGCUGGCUUUGUAUGUAAAUUGACCAGACACCCAAUUCUCAGAGUACUUUCUUCCUUCAAAGCCAUCUAACUCUUAAGCUCCCUUCUAGCUACAGUGAACUUGCAUUUGCAUUUUUAAGUAUUUCCUUUGUCCU
ensembl:lncRNA